rnacentral:rRNA from 1 species
CCUACGGGUGGCAGCAGUGAGGAAUAUUGGUCAAUGGCCGUAAGGCUGAACCAGCCAAGCCGCGUGAAGGAAGAAGGAUCUCUGGAUUGUAAACUUCUUUUGUAGGGGAAUAAAGGUAUCGAAGCGUGCCUAUUUGCAUGUACCCUAUGAAUAAGCAUCGGCUAACUCCGUGCCAGCAGCCGCGGUAAUACGGAGGAUGCGAGCGUUAUCCGGAUUUAUUGGGUUUAAAGGGUGCGUAGGGUGUUUUUUAAGUCAGAGGUGAAAGUUUGGGGCUCAACCAUAAAAGGGCCGUUGAAACUGGAAGACUUGAGUGUGUUUGAGGUAGGCGGAAUGCGUGGUGUAGCGGUGAAAUGCAUAGAUAUCACGCAGAACUCCGAUUGCGAAGGCAGCUUACUAAGCCAUAACUGACACUGAGGCACGAAAGCGUGGGGAUCAAACAGGAUUAGAUACCCUUGUAGUC